AUGAGGUGGCUCAAGUCGUUGGUUGGGCUGAGGAAGGUGGAGAGGCAGCAGCAGCGCCGCAAGGAGGAUGGCGACGCCGGCCCAACAAAAACAGAUGCCGUCGAUCAGUUCCACUUCCAGGAUCAGCACUCCCAGGAUCACGCUAGCCUUGUCGGACCAGAAGAGUUCCCUGAUGAAAAUGGUCCGUCAGAAGAUGAGUGCGAUACACCUUCAUGCUCAGGACCUGGUUUCAGUAUGCUUAGUGUGCCACUGCCUCAAACAGAAGAGGAGCUCAAAGAGAUCUGGGCUGCCACAAUUAUUCAGACUGCAUAUAGAGCCCUACUGGUAUUCACCUUUUUCUCUGUCGAUUAG
rnacentral:rRNA from 1 species